UACAGAGGUCUCAAGCGUUGUUCGGAUUCAUUGGGCGUAAAGGGUGCGUAGGCGGCGCGGUAAGUCGGGUGUGAAAUCUCGGAGCUUAACUCCGAAACUGCAUUCGAUACUGCCGUGACUCGAGUCCGGUAGGGGAGUGUGGAAUUCCCGGUGUAGCGGUGAAAUGCGCAGAUAUCGGGAGGAACACCAGUAGCGAAGGCGGCACUCUGGGCCGGUACUGACGCUGAGGAGCGAAAGCGUGGGGAGCGAACAGGA
rnacentral:rRNA from 1 species